CACGCGUAGAUGGUUGUUCCUUCUCCUGCAAUCUUCUUUCCUUUUGAAAAUAGGUAAGUUUUUUUCCUUGAUAUUUUUUCUUUCGUCUUUCGUUGUUUCUCUCUGCAACUCUUCACCUCUUAAUACAUUCAUCCGAAAAACUAGGUUUGCAAUCAACACGAUUCACAAAAUUCUCUAACUCAUACAAUGCCUCUUCCUCCCAUGUUACGAUUCAUAAACCCUAUUUCUCAUCUAAACUCUUGAGCAGCUUCUUUUUCAAGCAAUCAAAACCUUUAGUUUGGCAUUUUUUCUUGCUUUGCUGCGUGUUCUCUACUGCCCGUUUUCUUGCUUCCCUGCUUCACAAAUCCAUCUUAUAAGAAAGACAGAUACAACACGAGAGGAGACGUGGAUGGUGUUUUAUGGCGGUAAGCGACCAAACCAACCCGAACCGACGAUGAAGGAGGAACUGAAAUAAACGAGCAUCGCCGACCUGACUUGAUUACAGUGUUAGGUUACCGUUUUUUGUGAGAACAAAGGGAUCAUAAUCAAAUAGCAGGAAGGGAGUAGAAUGAAGAAAUUGUAACGUAUAUGAUGGUAAAGGCCAUUUUCAAGCCAGUGUGAUUCAGACACAAAUUCGAGUGAAGUAGAUACAGUUUCAAUAAAGCUUCAAUUGUCUUUGGUACCGAAUAAAAUUUCGGCUUCUGGUGGGAAAAGAGGUAUGGUGUCCUAUAUGCAAGUAAGUGUUGCAACAGAACUGAUAUAUUAUCUUAUUAUGGGCUAUGUUCUCUUUGCGAACGUGAACUCAACAGAGACGCUAGGUGGCAUUGGUGGCAUGAGUUAUACCAUUUGCUUUGGUCAGAUUGCUGGAUUUGAGACAGUUGAUUUAUGUUUUAAGCAAAAGAUCAUCUCAGAGGUGUAUAUCAGCAAGACAAUAAAUGGCUUCCUUUCUAGCAUUCAUGAACAGUCCUGUUGGGCCUAAAACUACCCAUUUCUAGGGUCCUGUAGCCAACUGUGGAUUUGUUGUUGCGGGGUUGGUUGACAUGCAGAACCCUCUAGAGAUGAUAUCCGGCAAUAUGAGUGCAGCUAUGUGUGUAUUCUGGAUUAUUCAUGAGGUUCGCCUGGAUGGUGCAGCCGCGUAAUUAUCUACUUCUAGCAUGUCAUGCAUCAAAUGAAACAGUUCAGAUGUAUCAAUUUUCACAUUGGUUAAAGCAUCAAGGGUUUAGAAGAACAGGAUGUUCCUCAACUGUACCCAAAAGUGCUAAAUCUUGGUGAAAAACCAGAAGCAAGAAUCAAUGGUGGUUGAUGAUGCUUUUUCAUCAAAAUGGAGGUGGGUGACAGUCUUUUUCUCUCUACUCUUUCGUGCUCAGCAAAACACAAAACUUUUCCAUGAGGGGACAACUCAUGGCUGAUGGUUACGUAAAUAUAUAGAUCAUAGAUGAUAUUGUGCUGCACAUGAGAUGCUCACUAAAAUGCCUCAGUGACGUUUCAUUUUACUGGAUGCAUAUUAUUCUUGCUUCAAACCGUGGGACUGUCAUGGAGCUCGGUAUUACUCCCAUUGUGACUUCUGGAUUGGUUAUGUUGUUGGCUGGGUCAAAAAUUAUUGAAGUGGACAACAACGUUCGUGAGGACCGUGCACUAUUGUAAGUUUAAUAGUAUUCAGAAAUUUUCUUUUACCAACCCGCGAAGCUCGCGGGUUCUUAGACUUAGACAUGAAGCCUAAGUUUGGAAAGGCGUAGAACAAAAAUGAUGAUCUACCUGAGGAUUCAAUGCCAGUAGAUAUUAUAUA